UAAACAAUCAGCUGUCAACUCAAGAAGCUGCAUUUUGGACCGUAAAAAAUUAAAUACUAGAUGUACGUCAGCCUGUGGUUCAGAUUCCAAACUCCACCGGUACCUGGGAUGAAUCUUAAAUGAGGUUCAAUCCUUUACCAGUAGGAUGACAUUGGCAUUUUCGUAUGUUCGUUCUACGCGCGAAGGCCGAAGGCGCGUCCCAUCUGCAUCUAGCUUUCUCCAGACACUGACACCUGUCCUGGAGAAAGUUACAGCUGAUUCCUCUCGCCCUCUGGAGCAGGUGCCACGUAUUUGACCCUUGAUUUCAGUUUUUGUAGAGUUUAAGAUUGUAUCAGCAAACAUGACGACCAUGUUCAGUGAUCAAACCACAGAAAAGUUAAAGACAUUAUUGAGUGGAGGAGUUGCAGGAAUGUGUUCUAAAACAACAGUAGCACCACUUGAUCGAAUGAAGAUUCUGUUUCAGGCACACAACAAUCAUUACAAAAACCUUGGUGUCUGGUCUGGCUUAAAAGCCAUAGUUAAGAAUGAGAAUAUUUUUGCUUUGUAUAAGGGCAAUGGUGCUCAAAUGGUUCGGAUAUUUCCCUAUGCUGCAAUACAGUUUACAGCAUAUAGCACCUACAAAAGAACCUUCUCCAGUAUGUGCGAAACUUCUACGUGGUUGGGUUCUUUCCUAACAAAUUUUGGAUCAGGGGCUCUGGCUGGUGUCACUGCAGUGGCAAUGACAUAUCCUCUGGACACUAUUCGAGCUCGACUAUCUUUCCAAGUCAAAGGAGAGCACAAGUACAAGGGGAUUGUUCAUGCAGGUGUAACUAUUGUCCGUAACGAAGGAGGAGUGUUAGCAUUGUAUCGGGGCUUUGUGCCUACUCUAUGUGGAAUAUUUCCACAAGCUGGGUGCAAUUUUUAUUUUUUUGAACAAUUGAAAAAUAUGUGCAUGCAAUAUUUUCCCAUGUACACGUGCAAUGUGUGUGAACAAAAUACAGGUGGUUUAGUCCUAUCCAUUCCAGCUAAGCUAGCAUGUGGUGGUGUCGCUGGUGCAAUUGCUCAAACCUUUUCUUACCCUCUUGAUGUAACACGGCGGCGCAUGCAACUGGCCAUGAUGACUCCAGAAACAAGCAAAUUUGCGACUGGUAUGUUGUCUACAUUAAAAAUGACCUACCAGGAGAACGGAAUUGUCCGAGGCCUCUACAGGGGCAUGAGUAUAAAUUUCUAUCGAGUAUGUCCCAUGUGUGCAGUGUCAUUUUCCACCAAUGAGAUGGUAAAACAGCUCCUUGGGUUAGAUACUGGGGUAUAAAAGAAAAAGAAACAAUUUGUAUUUUUUUCUAACUAUUCAGGAAAAACACCAAUUUUAUGACUCAUACCCAUGACACAACACUAAGGCAGCAUAUUGGCAGAGGUAGUGACAUAUCUGCAAAGAAUGAGAUCAUAUACAAUUGUAAACAGACUUUAAGACUUCAAAUACAUCAAAGAAUCUCAGAUUCUUUUUAAGAAUAAUGUCCUAUUUGCUUUCUUAAACUAUUGUUGUUAGCUUUAGUUUUUUAAUUUAUUUUGUUAUUAUUAUUAUUCUUAUUUAUCUUAUUUGAGUAUGUUCAUACUUAGUCCCUAUGUUUUUACUUCAUUAAGACUGAAACAUUAUCAAUGGAAUGUACCAAAAUUAGCCUUAACAUUUCUCACUGCAUUAAGUAUUUAUAUUUAAAUUGUUUUAUUUGAAGCUGCGUUCUUAUAGCAGCACAGGUUGCAGCAUGCUUCUGUUGUUAUUUAAUUUGUAAGCACCAUAAUAAUUCUUAGCACCAUUGUUAUUGUUCGAGGGGUGCUAUUUGUUGGUGGUGGUAUCAUGGGAGAAAGGCCACCCUUGUCUCAUAGAGGUUUAUUUUAAAAAUGUUUUUAACUCUGUUGCGAUUUUACUCAACUCUGGGACCAAACCAAAAUAAAUCUUUUUUUUUUUACACAAA
rnacentral:misc_RNA from 1 species